rnacentral:tRNA from 1 species
GCAAAUGUGUUGGAAAGGUAGACAAGCUGUUCUUAGGAAACAGUGCUGUAAAAGCAUAUGGGUUCAAAUCCCAUCAUUUGUA